GUCCUGGGGCGGCGGGCCUGUGAACAGGUGGGCAGGGUAGGGGAGCCCCCGGAUCCGCCCGUUCCCCACUCACCUCCUGCUCCUCCGUGGCCUCCUUUGGCAGCGCUGGCCAAGCCCCGGGUCAGGGGCCUCAGAGGCAAAGCCAUGAUGGUGCGGGGAGCCGGGAACCAGCGCUGUCCUCGCUCCCUUUCCUGGGGCCUGGGGUCACCUCCCCUCUCUGGGCCAAUCACCUGUUGAGUCUGGAGCACUGGCGGCUAUUCUUAGGGGUUUCUAUAUUUAAAAUGGGGCCUGACUGGCUUGAGGUCAUCUCCAGACAGCUGUUGUCCUGUGCCUCUUAUUUUGGCAAGGAGGCAUUUAAGUACAAUAUGCCAUUCUUUUUAUAUAGUUGCAGGGAAACUAUUUUGUUCCCUAUUCUAUGCCUGGUGGCUGGCACACAGUUGGGCUUUAAUAAAUAUUUGUAGAAUGAA
rnacentral:lncRNA from 10 species